AUGGCUUUCGGCCCCGCCGUCGCCUUCGGGCUCCUCUCGCUCUUCCUCGUUGCCGAUGUUUCUCCAUCUAAUAAUUGCAUAAAACUUGACAUCUUGGGCGGAACCGUCACCAUGAGACAAAUGGGUCGCAGAGCAAGAUUUUCAUGUAGAAAGCCUUAUCGUCUGUUUGGUCCAGCUGCGUCAACAUGCUUCAGAGGCCGAUGGUCCCCUGCGCCACCUAAAUGUGGAAUUGACUGCCCUAUAACCAGUGUAAAAAUGGUCAACCGCAGUAGGCUGUUUGUCUCCAGCUCAGUGUGUGAACGCGGCUACGAGGCUGUUCCAUUCAUAACAGCACAUUGUGAGGAUGAAACUGGACUGUCAAGCAAAUCUUAUCCGAUCUGCAUAGCUGAGGCCUGUGCUGAAACUUAUACAUUUUUUAAUUCUAAUGACUGUAAUGUAUUUGCCGCUAGGAACUUGAAUGAAUUGUAUGUUUCUUGCAAGCCUGGAUUUUCACCACUUGGCCGUGAUAAAGUUGAUUGUGAUUCACACUAUGGCCUCACUUUUGCUGGAUGCCGAGGUACAUCCGUGCAAUUAUCUUGUGACUUUGAAUUAAUAUCGGAGCCCUACUGCGGAUGGGGCCGGCCAUCGGGAUCUGAUGAUGCUUUUUUGUGGUUUCGCAAGGCGCGAGUACAAAGACGUGACCUAUUUGUUAGUCGCUCACUCUGGGAAACUUUACCCGUUACUGAUCAUACUUCAGAGGUAAAGGGAGGAGGUGGUAUGUCAGGUAGUUACUUGUACCUCCCUGCAGCAUAUUUGAAGAUGGGUGACCGAGUUCGCCUCUUCUCCCCCGAGUAUGAUCUCAGAUCAAACGAAAGUCUCUCACACUGUUUUACUUUUUGGUAUCACAUGAAAAGCAGGUCAGUUGGGGAGCUAAACAUUUAUAUUAAUGACGAGCUACGGUGGACUAUAGCUGGUGAGCAAGGCAGCGUUUGGAAUGAAGGAUUUGUUCCACUUCCUAAUGAUUUUGUUCAUAUUAUUGUCGAAGCUACUCGUGGCUAUGCAGCAGAUAGUUACAUUGCAAUCGAUGACUUUGCCAUUACCAACUCUGAACAAGCUUAUGAUCAUGAAUGUUUUGCACAAGACGCAGAGAAAAGCAAUGAAUAUGCUCCUACCACGCCAAAAAUGAGAUGCUAAACUCAGAUGAUGAUUCUGUAGAAACAACUGAUCCACCAGCAAAUGAGCCGACACCCUCCAUACAUUUUAACAACACUGCGUCUCAGAAGAUAUCAUCCAAAGAAGUUACCACUAUUAGUUUCUCUCAAGAUUCUACCAUCCCUGCAAAUGUUUCUGUAGAAACGAUGUCCUCCUCAAGUCCCCCAACUCCCAUCUUUGGUACCUCUGCUCUUCCGCAAGGACUCUUUUCAAGACCGUCUCAUGAAGCCUCUACUACUCUGAACACUACCAUCAAAGAGCAUUCAGUUGCCCCGACCAGCCUAAAAAAAAAUAUUAAUAUCUCCUCAGGUACCUCUCCAGAAACUUUUUCAAGCUCACAUCAUGAGAUCAAUGUAUUUUCGACUGCUGCUCAUGAUGUUUCGCAUGUUCCAGACGGGCCGCAAGAAACAUCCAACUCCUCAGAGACACCGAAAGUUACUUUGCCUCUGGUUGAGACCGUAACCUCACAAAGUUCUCUUGACUCAAUCUCAAUAAAAAUGGGGGAGUUCAAACCUCUUGAUCAUUCUAACACACUCACAGAACCUUCUCUAGUCAAGAACUUAUCUUUGCCGACCGACAGCCCUGCAAAGCAAACCCUUUCUGAAAUGCUGACCGUGUCAACAAGCACGCUCACUUCUACCUUUCAAACUGCGGUCAGUGCUCAGUAUGAACCCGCAGACAAUAAGUCUGCAGUGGUGCAAAAAGCUGUAACCAUUUCUCAUGCAGAAGUUUCAACAUCUCCUCAGCCAAAACAAAGCCCUAGCCCAGAAGAUUCAGUAAAAACUUCUAUUGACUAUAAAAAUGAGAUAGUGCCAACCAAGUUGUUACCAGACACUCUUGAAGGCGUACACUUUAAUGCUCACAAUAUCGAUAGAAGUAAAUGGGCAAUAACUAGUUCGAAUAUUUUACCAGUAACAGAAAGAGGAUUGGCGUCUGGUGUUUAUCCAAAGGACAGUGCAAAAACAAGUGAAAAUGAGUCAAUCAGAGGAAACAGUAUCGAAGGCUCAGAGACUGUCAGUGACACCCACUCGCUGUUUGAUGAUGCGCUAGAUCCAGAUUCUGUAGAUGAAACCCACUACUCAGACAUAGUCAAACUCUCUAGCCCAGAUGUGCAUAAUGGUGACAAAUUAUUUGUCUCAAAACCCCCUUCAAUAGGGACCAUUCAUGUUAACUUUCCUAAUGAUCUCACUAACGGAAUGGAUGAAGGUGAUAAUAGUCCUGCUAAAAGUGACUGCAGCUCAAUAAAUUGUGUCAGGCACGAUUUAAAUGAUGAAAUUUCCAAAAAUUCAGAAAGUCCAAUCUCCAAAGCUACAAAAAAUAAUGCGUUAUACAGAGAGAACCAUGAGGGGCUUAAACCAGAAGUUUCAGCAGAAGGAUCCGGAGCAGAUAACUCUCAUCUCAAAGGCCCUCAGUUAACUACAACAAAAAUAAAUUCGAAAAUGCACUACUUCA
rnacentral:lncRNA from 1 species